UCUCCGUUGGUGAACCAGCGGAGGGAUCAUUACAGGACUCGCAAGACUCCUACAACCCUGUGAACUUAACUAUAAGCACGUUGCUUCGGCGGGUGUCUCGGAGGGGGUUCUCCCUCCCCGAGACGCUAAACCCGCCGGCAGCCUACUAUACUCUGUCUCUUUGCGUUGGCAUCUCGAGUACAAUCAAACAAGUUAAAACUUUCAACAACGGAUUUCUUGGUUCUG
rnacentral:misc_RNA from 1 species